CCUUCCGUAGGUGAACCUGCGGAAGGAUCAUUA
rnacentral:rRNA from 56 species